GCACCCAUAGCUCAGCUGGAUAGAGCACCGGACUUCGAAUCCGGGAGUCGUAGGUUCGAAUCCUACUGGGUGUA
rnacentral:tRNA from 1 species